GCUGGGCGCGGUGGAGCAUGCUUGUAAUCUCAGUGGCUCGGAAGGUGAGGCAGGAGGAUCGCGAGUUCAAAGCUAGCCUCAGCAAAAGCGAGGCGCUAAGCAACUCAGUGAGAUCCUGUCUUUA
rnacentral:sRNA from 1 species